GAUGAAGAACGUAGUGAAAUGCGAUACUUGGUGUGAAUUGCAGAAUCCCGUGAACCAUCGAGUCUUUGAACGCAAGUUGCGCCCGAAGCCAUCAGGUUGAGGGCACGUCUGCCUGGGCGUCACAUAUCGUUGCCCAAUGCCUAUUGCAGUGCAAUAGGAAUUUCUAGGGCGAAUGAUGGCUUCCCGUGAGCGUUGUUGCCUCGCGGUUGGUUGAAAAUCGAGUCCUUGAUAGGGUGUGCCAUGGUAGAUGGUGGUCGAGUUAGAACGAUACCGAUCAUGUGCAUGCUCCCCAAAAUAUGGCCUCUAUGACCCACACGCGUCUUUUGACGCUCAUGACGAGACCUCAGGUCAGGCGGGGCUACCCGCUGAAUUUAAGCAUAUCAAUAAGCGGAGGA
rnacentral:misc_RNA from 1 species